CAAUAGCGUAUAUUUAAGUUGUUGCAGUUAAAAAGCUCGUAGUUGGAUUUCGGGUAGGAUUUGCCGGUCCGUCUUUGAGAUGUGUACUGGUAAGUCCUAUCUUCUUGUCGGGGACCAGCUCCUGGGCUUCACUGUCCGGGACUAGGAGCCGACGAAGUUACUUUGAGUAAAUUAGAGUGUUCAAAGCAAGCCUACGCUCUGAAUAUAUUAGCAUGGAAUAACAUGAUAGGACUCUGGCUUAUCUUGUUGGUCUGUGAGACCAGAGUAAUGAUUAAGAGGGACAGUCGGGGACAUUCGUAUUUCAUUGUCAGAGGUGAAAUUCUUGGAUUUAUGAAAGACGAACUUCUGCGAAAGCAUUUGUCAAGGAUGUUUUCAUUAA
rnacentral:rRNA from 1 species